CAACUUUCAACAACGGAUCUCUUGGCUCUUGCAUCGAUGAAGAACGCAGUGAAAUGCGAUACGUAAUGUGAAUUGCAGAAUUCCGUGAAUCAUCAAAUCUUUGAACGCGAAUUGCACUCCUUGGUAUUCCGAGGAGUAUGCUUGCUUGAGGGUCG
rnacentral:rRNA from 1 species